AAACAAUAAUCAAUCAUUUAAUCCUCGAACGGAGCGAUAUGAGUGCGUUUGCACUUAAUCAUUAUAUGUCAUCGUACAUUGCGUGUGCAGGAGAGGAGAACCCGCCCGCCAAGUAGCGAAACGCAUUUGUUUCGUACACACAAAACUGCCGAAAUUCAGUCCAGCCGAACGGACCGACGAACGAACAGAGGGAGGCAUCGACGAGAGAAUUAGCGGAGGAAGCAACAGUGCGUCACGCACCGUUUUUGCAGGGUGCGUUUUUUGAGCAAGGUCAGGUUCGGAAGCCUGAGUCCAGAGAGAGUGGUCAACCGGGCAAAGGCAUCAUGGUCAGCAGUUAAAAAUCCGUGGGGUGCGUAAGCUAAUGCGGUUGGACCGCGCCACGAACCGAAGAGAAAGAGAGAGUAGCGAGAGGUGGUCGGGUCGCUCUCACGCACUGUCCUCCUCGUUGAGCGAGAGAGGGUGGGAUUCAAAAAGUCACGCUAGGUGACGGCAGCUUGAAUUCGAAUAAUGGGAAGGGUGCUUUCCAUUACGUAAUCCCCUAAAAAGAUACCGGACCGGAUCGUCACUGAAACGGGAAGGGGUCAGACUGUUGCUGCCACCGUCAAAUGCUUCCGGUCAAAAUAGAACCGGACUAAUAAAAAUAACCACUCCUAAUCGAGCGUCGGAAUGGGAAGAAUGGGAUCGUGCGUUGAUAUGGGGUGCGUUGCGUUCGUGCGUUUAUGUGCUGGUCGCAUUUGAAUCCAUUCGGGAACGGCAGACGAUUGACGACCAGUGCUAUAAGUGCUCGGAUGGUUUCGUGCGAAUCUAGCUCAAGGUCGCGCCGCAAACGCGAGCUCGCUUGCAAACGCAUACACGCAUUGUGCGUUUAGUAGAAAAAAAAUCGCACAUCUACAAGCACCAUCCAUCGCAGAAAAAAAUGUAAACAUUAUUAAAAUAUUAGCAGCUUCGCUAGUGCGUAUAGCAGUGGAAGAUGAAUAAAAUAAAAUCGCGACUCGGCAAUUUUUUUUCGCGAACAUUGUGCGAAAAUUAAAGAGACCGAAUGUGAGUAUGCGUUUUUUGUUUUCGCCACUUCCUCAGGUGCGUGCGUCUGCGUGUGACGCCAAAAAUCAAUGCGAAAGCCGAGAACGAAAGCGAGAGUAAGCAUUUUGGCACUAUGAACAAAGCAAGCGUGCGUUUCGCACUCUUCCACGCAGUCAGCAUGGAUAGCAAAAAAAAAAAACCGACGCAGCCGGGUAUUGAAUCACCGAUCUGCGCGACCGGCGAAAGAAGCAAAGCAAGAAGACCGAAAUGCUCACGCAUAAUCGCGGUCGCGGCUGCUGCACGUUUGUUUCUCGUCUCUUUUGGGAGCGGGUGCGUCUGGUUUCGCGAAAUAAAUCGCGAACCUGCGCGCGCGACCCCCGCACUCGCUCGCGUCUCCGCUCUCUCAUCCAGCACGCACCGGGCGGUGCGUUAACGCAGCGUGGCCUCGAAAUUUGCGGUAAAAAGUAGGUCACGAUGCGUGUAUUGGUCGUUCGCUCGGUCGGUUACUAGUCGAUCGUCCGGCGACGUAGACGAUUAGAUGUAGGAAAGGCAAGCCCGAAAUGUGCGUUUUUUUGCGAAUGCGAAUGCGUGUGGCCGCUUUUUUAGGAGGGGGACCUUGUAUGCGUGAGUCGCUUCUUUUUGGCAGUUUGUUAGAUUUCGCACACUGCAGGUUGGGCCCGUUGAAAGUGAAAACAGGCCCCACAGUGUUUGCAGUUACGGUGUCCCGAGUGGGUCGAAGUCGGCUCUAGAUGCGGUUGAAGAAUCAAGGAGAAUUGGUUCAAGUCGAGAUGGGUGUGCGAGUGAAGUGGAGGCGCGAAUAGCUCCGGUGACACAUUUGACCUACUUUUCGGUGGACGUGUUAUCUAUGGAAGAAAUGCGAGACUUGUGCAUCCAGUGGACGUAUUCUGCGUCAACCACCGCCAAUUAGGACUACGUAUCUUUUCCGGAAAUAGCCGGAACUUGACACACACGUUUUCGACCUCUUAACUGCCCCGAACUUAAAUCGCUCUAUGCCAAACUAUACUAUUCUCGUCACUAGCAACUGGUGGACUCCAUUACCGUAGUCGUCGUCGCCGUCGUCCCGUGAAACCAAGAGGAGAGUGUUUGAGCUCUAGUUUGAGUGUGGAAACUGCUGCUGACUGUGCUGUGCUGUGCCUUCUCUAUUGAUGUUGCUGGCUGAUGAUGAACAACGCGUUUGCUAUGCUGCUGCUGCUCUACCGCCACCACGCGCGCCGUACAACACACGUAUCUACUGUGAGCGGUGUUGUGCCACCGCGCUCACUGCCCUAUUUAGGCAGGGCUGGGCGGCGGCGGUGGCGCAAGUCAACGAGGAUGGGUAGCAGUGCCAACAGGAGAGGAAAGGAAAAACGGGAUACGCGCCAUACACACGCCUAGCGAAAGAAGAACAACGCAACUCCCGCAGACAAGAAGAUUCCCACGUCGAUUCGCGAUUCGCGAGGACCGAUCGGGGCCCGGCUUCUCGGCUAACCUCAGGACCGACCUGCGGGAGGAAUCUAAUCUGCGAGCUGCAACCGAGGGCGUAAAGGUCAACUGCAGUUUGCGAAAGAUUUCAUCGCCACCCGACAUUGUCUGAACUGUGUGUGCAACGGUGCAACCAUAUCGCUCGGAACCCCGCUAAUCCUGGUCCCACACAAGUGCAACCAACAACGGUGCGACUGAUAGCGACCCUCCGUAACGCAUUCGACCCCGCGUUAUCAAAUGGCCUCGCGCGCUGCUUCAACCGCGAGCAUUCGACGAGACAUUAUUGGCAUCGUUGUCGCGCUUUCCAAUGUUUGAUUACAAACACAGCAGCAUAAUAAUCGGCACCCUCGGCCCUGGACGGACACCCUUCUUCGUGUGAAAGGGACGCGUCACAUCAUCAACCCUAGGUGGACAACAAUGACCCCGCGCGCGAAACUAGUUUUCCAUCCUGUCAGGAUGAUUUUUUUCAGCCACGCCGAAAAUUCCCAUCCUAUCCUGCGCCUUUGCCUGAAAAAGGGAUUUAAAAGGGCCGAACAGGUUCAUCGCAGCUGAUUUGGGAUUCCUAGAAUUUGGGAUGAUGAAAUGCAUCCCGUGUGCGCGAAGCGAGCGAUGCACACGAACCACAAAGGUAGCAAUUUCUGCGUCUCGCGGUGUGUUGUUCUUAUUACGGUUUUCUGGCGGUUUUGACGUUGAUUUUUUCCCUUUUUUUCUUUGUAGGCAUGUGUUCCGACCUUCGGUCCCGAUCAAGAUCAAGGACUUUGACGAGGUGGGAGGUUCGUAUUUGGACGAAUCGCUAGUUCAUCUUCCGUCCGAGUAGGCGACGGAAACACGUGUUUUUGUUCUCGAAGGCGAAGCUUCUUCGCUCGGCAAAAUGGGAAAUAAGUAAUGAAAGUCGUCGGGAGAGGAAGCCAAGACCACGACGACCAAGACGAUGGUCGGGCCGCGACGCGCCACGCGAUGAUAGUAUAAGUGCAGCGUAUGUAUUAAUGCACUUUUUUCGCAUUCCGACGACGGCGGCACACGAACUGCACACUGCAAGGGAUGGUUGUCUCGUUCUAGCCGGAACGAGCUCGGAUUCACACAAGCAGCCCGUUCGGUAGCAUGGAUCGCAGAAGGCGAUGACGACGACGACCACGGCGAUCGGCUCCGGUUGCACUUUUCACGGUUGCUUCGAUUGCCGGCGCGCGAGGGGUGGCCGAAGGAACUUCGAGGAAUUGCGAGAAAGAGCAAGUAUCAAUACGGCGACGACGAGUGCGAGGAAAAAACAAAAUGGUGGACAAAUUGCGGUCGGACUCGGUGCAAGAAAUGUUGCAGCCGGGGAACGGAACCGGGAACUGCAAUGUGCUGAAAGAAUCGAUGCGGAACUUUGACUCCGGGAUAAGCUUCUCGGGGGGAAAGUUAAAGACAGUAUUCCGGGUUGGGCUAAUCCAAUUAGACUGGGGACGAGGCCCCACACGCAUACAUAGCUAUAGGCAGACGAAAGUCUCGGCCCGAUACGGGUUCCCCUUGGCAACAGAGAUCCAAAAUUGACAAACCUGUGAGGGUAGGAAAUCAAAACUGCUAUAGAUA